UCCCUCCUUUCUGCAUGAUCUUGAGAUGCCAUGUUCCCUUGCGUGAUCUUGAGAUGCCAUGUUGGAUGAUCCUGAUAACCCAUUACAAAAUUUAGGCGUGUAUCUUUCCGUUGUCUCAUCUACCUUGCUUGGCUAAGAUAAGAAGAACAGAUAACCACGACUCGACCUGAUAAGCAUCGUCAAUUGCUUCCUCCGACAUAUCGUUCAAGUGUUCGAAAACCCAUAGUCUCUAAGGAGUUCUUUCUUCCCUCGAGAAAAUCAGUCUAACGGCCUCGCCAGGUUAAAAUUACUAAGAUCUAAGAUUUAGAAUUUCAAAUACCCCACCAUCUCUUCUUGUACGGAAACCAACUCUUGUUGUUCUUACAUAGGAACCAAUCCCAGACGAAUUUUACAUGGAAUGCUGUCAAUCCCAUUCUUCGGAUACCCCAAAGAAGGAUUCCAAGAUUCGAAAACAGGCCAAAGAACCGAUGCGUCAACAGCAACGGAAUAGAGAUAUAAUAAAACGGACGGAUGAAGAAAGGAAAAAAUAAAG
rnacentral:lncRNA from 1 species